GCCUUGACAUGCAUCUCUAAGCGUGUGAAAGCACGUGACCCUUCGGGGAAUUUGCACAGGUGCUGCAUGGCUGUCGUCAGCUCGUGUCGUGAGAUGUUGGGUUAAGUCCCGCAACGAGCGCAACCCUUGUGUCCUGUUGCCACUUCCGCUAACGCGGAAAGCACUCUGGACAGACUGCCUCGUCUCAACGAGGAGGAAGGUGGGGAUGACGUCAAGUCAGUAUGGCCCUUACGGCCAGGGCUGCACACGUACUACAAUGCCUGGUACAAUGGGAAGCAAUACCGUGAGGUGGAGCAAAUCCUCAAAACCAGGCCCAGUUCAGAUUGUAGUCUGCAACUCGACUACAUGAAGUCGGAAUCGCUAGUAAUGGCGCAUCAGCUACGGCGCCGUGAAUACGUUCCCAGGCCUUGUACACACCGCCCGUCACAUCAUGAAAGCCGGUUGUACCCGAAGUCGCUGAGCUAACCCGCAAGGGAGGCAAGUGCCGAAGGUAUGGCUGGUAAUUGGGAUGAAGUCGUAACAAGGUAGCCGUAGGGGAACCUGCGGCUGGAUCACCUCCUUU
rnacentral:rRNA from 1 species